GUUGUCCAUUAAAGAUUCAUUUGGUACCACUAGCAAACGUUUUCCAGAACGAAGAGUCUGUAAGAUGCUUCCGGCUCCUGCAUGAGAGAUGACUAUACUAGCAUCAUGAAUGUAGGAUUCAAUUUCUGGAGCAUAGUCAAAGCCCAGGAUGGUCAAACCAGCAACGCUUUUGGGGUCUCCAAAUGCCUGUUUUCCUUUUCCGUACUGAACAAUCAGUUGAUUAAUGCCAUGUUUCACCAAACAAUGCUGAAACUCGGGCUUCAAAACGGCUCGGAUAAGAUCAUCGAAUUGUGUAGAGCCCACUGUUACAAAUGCAUUCAUUGUAAGAAAGGAUAAAGUCAACUGCAAAAGAUAAAUGUAGGCGGGUUUUUGGAGACAGGUUUACUCUACUACGUCUACGAGUGAGAUUGUGCAAAAUAAAAGACAGAGUAUAAAAAGCGAAACUUUGUGUUUGUAACCGAUAAUUAACAAUAUGGUGUUGUAUAUUCAAGGAAUAAUACUUUUGCUUAAGUAAAUAAGGAAAAGUUUACUUAUAAAUCUGCUAAUCUUGAUGUUGCCUUAGACUUUUUCAGAAGCUGAGUGCACGCACCUUUGAAAAUGCUUAACGAGGUAUGGAGGUAAAUGGUCUGAAGCUUCAGAAACGUUAAAUGUAUACAAAAUUAAGACUUACUAGGAACGUUUACUUAUUAUCGAAUAAUUUUGCUUCCAAUGUCUUCAACAUUAGAUAAUAGUCUUUAUCCAAAAUAUGCAACGAUGCUUACUCUUCACUAAAAUAUCUGAUAUACUCGAUAACUGGGAUGAUGUUACAGAAACAAUGAAUUUUGUGUAUAAAAUCUUCAGUGUAAUUAAAAGGCAACAGUUGAUGAGAAUAGAUUAAGAUAAUUAGAAACUACUAUUUAUACCAAGGUUCCAUCCUUUCACCAAAUGACCGAUAUAUAGGAAUUGAGAAAGGAAAUCACAUUUGGACUCAUGUCGUUAGCCAUCAUAAACCAGCUUACUGUUUACUUGAGCUCCAGCGAUUGAAUGUUUUAAAGCACAAUACUCUAAAAACAUGGAAUUUCUUAGUUUACAAAGACCUGCUGCGACUGUGUUAUAACUUGCAUUUCUGUAUUCUCGCUACCAUAUCAGAUAUGAUGAUAAUUUGGCUACAAAUCAAACAAACACUAGGUACUUGGAAUAAUCAUGCUUGUAUUUAAAC